rnacentral:rRNA from 1 species
CAGUCGCCACGGGAAAACGAGGGGUGCAAGCGUUAUUCGGAUUGAUUGGGUGUAAAGGGUGUGCAGACGGCUUAUUAAGUCACUUGUUAAAUUCUUCGGCCUAACUGAAGGUCUGCAAGUGAUACUGAUGAGCUAGAGGGUGGAAGAGAGAAGUGGAAUUCUCGGAGUAGCGGUAAAAUGCGUAGAUCUCGAGUGGAACACCAAUGGCGAAGGCAGCUUCUUGGUCCAUUCCUGACGUUCAUACACGAAAGCGUGGGGAGCAAACAGGAUUAGAUACCCGCGUAGUCCCUGUCUCUUAUAC